rnacentral:rRNA from 1 species
AACAUCUUUUCUUGUUUUAUUAUUUGAGAUUUGACCUGCCCAAUGAUUAGAUAAUUUAAUGGCCGCAGUAUUUUGACUGUGCAAAGGUAGCAUAAUCAUUAGUUUAUUAAUUGUGAACUUGUUAUGAAUGGUUGGACGAAAUAUUAACUGUCUCUAUUUAAUUUUUAAAAAUUAAAUUUUAAGUUAAAAUGCUUAAAUAUAUUUAUAGGACGAGAAGACCCUAUUGAUCUUUAUUAUUUAUUAAUAAGAUGUAUUUUGGAUUAUUUUAAUAUUUUGUUUAUAAUUAAAUUAUUUUGUUGGGGUGAUAUGGAGAUAUAAUUAACUCUUUAUUUUAUUUUUACAUAUAUUUAUGUAUAAUUGACCUUGUAAUAUUGUUAUAAGAUAUAGAUACCAUAGGGAUAACAGCGUAAUUUUUUCUGAGAGUUCUUAUUAACGAAAAAGAUUUCGACCUCGAUGUUGGAUUAAGAUUAAUUUUGGGUGUAGAUGCUUGAUUUAUUAGGUCUGUUCGACCUU